CCUGCUGAAACUAGUGGAAGACGCUGCCCUUUAAAGUUUAUGAAAAGGUGACUCCUUCGUGAACAAGCCCCAUAGUACAUUGUAUAGAAAGGGACAAACCUCCCUGCUGAAACUAGUGGAAGACGCUGCCCUUUAAAGUUUAUGAAAAGGUGACUCCUUCGUGAACAAGCCCCAUAGUACAUUGUAUAGAAAGGGACAAACCUCCCUGCUGAAACUAGUGGAAGACGCUGCCCUUUAAAGUUUAUGAAAAGGUGACUCCUUCGUGAACAAGCCCCAUAGUACAUUGUAUAGAAAGGGACAAACCUCCCUGCUGAAACUAGUGGAAGACGCUGCCCUUUAAAGUUUAUGAAAAGGUGACUCCUUCGUGAACAAGCCCCAUAGUACAUUGUAUAGAAAGGGACAAACCUCCCUGCUGAAACUAGUGGAAGACGCUGCCCUUUAAAGUUUAUGAAAAGGUGACUCCUUCGUGAACAAGCCCCA